GCCUGCCUAUAUGGCGAGGAGUUUGGGGGUUUGUUUUCUUUUUUCUUUUCUAUUUUUUUUUUCUUUUGGUGGAGUAGCUGCCGGUUGGAAACUUGCUGUGUUCAGCGUUUGUAAAGUAUUAGCUCCCUCGGCUCACUAGCUUCUUGUAAAUGUGGCGUUGCUGYGACCCUUUGGUUUUAACCCCCCCGCAGCGCUACUGGCACAAAGCAGAUUUUCUUUUCCACGUCUUGGCAAGAAAAGAUUCAACAGCGAAACCCUCGUAGUGAUUCUUGGUCGCCGUUCCCUGGAGGAGCUGCUGUAUCUGGGGCGGCAGAGCUGUGCCUUUUGCAGUGUACUUUAAAGACGCUUUACUCUCGUACCGGCUUCAGUGAAGUCUACAGCUUCUGUAAGGUUGUUAAAUCAAACUUCAAGUGUGCAGAGGAUCAGGGAUAUAAGUAUAACAGGAUUUCACUAACAUCCUGA
rnacentral:lncRNA from 1 species